CUCAGGAUGUACAGCUCUGUGAGAUCAUAAAUGGCUCUUGUUCUAAGCCGCUAACUUUGUGGUCAUUUGUUAUGGCGGCAACAGGAAACUCAUACACCAUGUGAACGCUUUCUCAGAACCGGCGCAAGAGAGAGGCUGCAAAGCUGGAGCUCCCUGAGCUGAGGGGAAGCCCACCUUGGUGCGGGCCUCUUAGCCAGUCUGGGGGAACUCUUUCUACCUUCUUUCUGUCAAGCCGGAUAAUUACUCCACCUCUUUAGAAUGGACAGUGACUGUCACCCCUGGGAAAUGUCAACGUGCACCACCUAGAAAGGCAACCCACUUUCAAGAUGUCUAGAAGCCAGUCGGGGUCCAGGAGCAGGCCUCUACCUACAUUUAUGUGGGUAAAUGAAGUCACAGCACAAAUUACCUACCCUACAUGGAAGAUAGAUCCUCCUGCGCCACCUCCUGCUUCUCUGCUGAGCCUGAGACGUGGACCCCUGCCUGGAUGUGGGGCUGGGGACGUGGCUCCUCCCUGUCUCACAGGCCCACCUCUUGUCCCUACACAGACAUUGAAUCCAGUGGCGCCCCCUGCUGCUACCUCCCUAAGCGAAAGUGGCACAAGGAGCCUUGGCGCUGGCCAGGUGCCUACUGCUGCCAAGAGCCCUCGAUCUCUGCCAGACAUGGGCACCCCCCACUCUCCAUCCCCAGGCCUCCCACCACUAGGUGGGCCAUUGGCACCGCGCCCUCAGCCACUGGCCUCUACAUUUCCCUCCCACCGAGGCACUGUCCCAGCCCGAGGGCUUUCCUACUUUUAUGAUUUGUCCACGAAGGUGACAUCUUUCAGCCCGCAGACAGCCGUCUUCCAAGCUGUUUACAGGACCUUGCACAGGGUCUUCAGGGGCUUCCAGCCUGUCACAAAUCAUGACCUGGUUUGACCUUUAAAAUGUCUCAAAAUCUAAUACUGAAGCCUUUCUUGAAUGUUUAUUUUAUUGCUUUCCAUAUAUACAUAUAUAAUUCUUCUAAACACUUUUUAAAACAAUAUCGUGUUUCAUUCUUUGUGCUAACAUGAGCUUUUUCCAUUUUAAAAAUUAAAAAAUAUGAUCAUUA
rnacentral:lncRNA from 1 species